UUACUGCUCGCACUUGAGAGACCGGAAGUUGGUGUUUAUGGGCCGCGGUCAAUGUAGUUCUGUCAGUUAAGGCUUUUGCACGGUUUGCUGGUGAUUUAAACGCACAUGGAUAUAUUCCGUGUUUCCUGCUCCAUGAAAGCUGGGAAGAAUGUGCUCAAAGGGAAACCUGGGAAGAAGCAGCUCUUCACCUGAAAAAUGUUCGCUUUGCCUCGGUUGUGAAUUCUUUCGUUGAGGAAGAGAAUUACCAUUAUGUCACUAUUUUAAUGAAAGGAGAGGUGGAUGUGACUCAUGAUUCAGAACCAAAGAAUGUAGAGCCUGAGAAAAAUGAAAGUAAGAGAACUAUAAAUAAUGCAUUUUCUAUGAGAGCACAUGGUCUGAAGGAAGAUUACGUUAUAUUGCCAUAGGAAGAAAAUUAGAUUAGAAUAUAAUUAUACUUCAGUUAGAAUGUAAAUAUACUUAAAUCCUGGAUACAUAAGGACAGAACAGGAGAGAGAACUGGGCCUAGAGCCAGACUACUUGGUUCGCAUCCUGGUUUUUCUACUUAGAGGUUUGUAACCUUGGACAAGUUAUUUAGGUCUCUGGGCCUCUUUUCUCACUUGUGACAAUAGUACCUACUUCAGAUGCGUUGUUGUAAGAAUAAAAUGAGUUAAUACAUACAACGGGCCUGGCCUAGUGAACACAGUAAGUACUCAGUAAGCGUUAGUUUUAUUGUUAGUGUUUAAUUUUGUUUCACACUGAUUUUUAAGCAAAACAUUUAACGUGACUUCCUCAGUUUUCUCACCUGUGCAAGAGAGGUAAAACUUCCUUUUAUAGAGAAUGCUUAACCUGACAAAACACUUAGCUGUUACCUUCUGCGUUGAAUUGAGUGCUCUGAAAGCUUUAAUGACAAUAACUGAUAUUCUGUUAUUUACUGUGUACUAAGCAUUGUUCUUAGGGCUUUGCAUGUAUCAUCUCUCUUCAGAUUUCAUAAAACUGCAUGAUAAAAGGAACUAAAGAGUAAAAUAUCAAACUUAUUCAGUAUAUUAUUUGCCAUAAGAAACCUUAUCCAAGUGGUCUCAUGUAGGAUCACCCCUCUAAACGUUUAAUUUCUCCUCUAACAGCGAAAAUCUUUUCAUUCACAAAUACUUGCUGAGUACUGUGUGCCAGACAUUGUUCUAAGCACUAAAGGAAAAGUGGUGUUUAAAACAAAGUCCCUGCCCUCCUGGACUUUACAUUUUAUCUGGGGGGAAAGGCAACAAAUUAGCAGAUAUUUUAUGAUAGUAAUGAUAGGAGUAAGAAUAAAAAUAAAGCUGUGUAAAGAUA